ACACGGGGCCGGCCCUGACGGCGCUCCCGGGAGCAGCCGGUGCGCGGCGGCGGCACGACCCCCUGCGCCUCCGAGGCAGACGAGCCCAUCGGGAGAAGGCGAGGCAGGGAAGUGCCUAAACCAACGGGAUAGGAUUCAAAACUAGGUGACAAACUCAUGAGAAAUCCAACCUGGCUGAAUGUCUGAGAGGCUGCUACUGUAUCAACAUCACAAGAUAAAGCACUCUGGUAUCACCUGCCCAUAUCCUCCUUAGUGUCACCCAAGACAUUUGACUCUGAUGUGGUUAAUUGAUAACUUUUCUUGCUCCACUUUACAAUGUUUUGUUUCCUACAUCUUAUUACCUUGGGACACAAAAGUGGCAGAGUUGUUGAGAGCUGAUGACAAUAAAAAGGAGAACACUAGAGGAAAUGAGACAGGAAAGAAAGCCAAAGCUGAUUUUCCAACUCUAUGCUGACUCCAACCUGCAGAAAAAGCUGAAUAUAGAAAUCUUCUUCCAUAUAUGAUGAAGUCACUCCACUUACGACAUAACACACAAAGGAAUCACCUGGCUUUUUUUUUUUAACCCAGAAGAGUUGUGCUGGGGACCAUGCCCCAUCCCGCUGAUACAGAUCCUGAAUGGAAUAAUCAGGAAUGGCACAGUGCAGGUGUCAAUAUCAAAGUAAGGCCGCAGAAUUUUUGAGAGGACCCUCCAAAUACUGAGAACUUCUGUUGCACUCGAAACAGUCUCCUGGAUUUCUAUAUUUUUAUGUGAAGGGCUCUUAUUGAUGUCCCCCAGAAUCCAGACUCAGACCUAUUUCUCCAAAAAGGUCCAAUUGGGUUGCUACAUAGUAGCAAGGGUUUAUCUUCAUGCUCACCUAGCAUUCCAGGCCCC
rnacentral:lncRNA from 1 species